rnacentral:rRNA from 1 species
GACGAACGCUGGCGGCGUGCCUAAUACAUGCAAGUCGAGCGAAGUUUUUCUGGUGCUUGCACUAGAAAAACUUAGCGGCGAACGGGUGAGUAACACGUAAAGAACCUGCCUCAUAGACUGGGACAACUAUUGGAAACGAUAGCUAAUACCGGAUAACAGUAUUUCUCGCAUGAGAGAUAUUUAAAAGUUGGUUAUGCUAACACUAUGAGAUGGCUUUGCGGUGCAUUAGCUAGUUGGUGGGGUAAAGGCCCACCAAGGCGACGAUGCAUAGCCGACCUGAGAGGGUGAUCGGCCACACUGGGACUGAGACACGGCCCAGACUCUACGGGAGGCAGCAGUAGGGAAUCUUCCGCAAUGGGCGAAAGCCUGACGGAGCAACGCCGCGUGAGUGAAGAAGGAUUUCGGUUCGUAAAGCUCUGUUGUUAGGGAAGAAUGGAUAUGUAGUAACUAUACAUGUAAGAGACGGUACCUAACCAGAAAGCCACGGCUAACUACGUG